AUCAAAAGACCCUAGGUCUUUAAUAUGUUUGGUUAAUGAGUAAUACCACUUUACGCGUAAUUCUAAAUGUUAGAUGGACAAAAACUCCCAUCUAUUGUAUGCGCACCCUUUGAACCAAAAUAUACAAGUAAGGACAUGUCGCAACUAACAAUUUAUGAAAAAUUAUUUGUCAAUAUGUCAUACGGUAUUUGAAAAGAAGUGAAAAUAAGCCAAAAUCAAAAUUUAGAAUAUGAUCUUGACCUUUGACCUUGACCUCAUUUUCAUUUUUUGGACCAAGGACCUCAAAUCUGAAGACUCUAGGUUUCUAUCACUUAUGGUUUACCAGUUGAAAAUGCAUAUCACUUGAAUCAAAUAAAAAAGGGGGAAUAACUCUCAUAUGGAGUCUCCAUAUAGCUUCGGUCCAAAUGAAUAUCCUUAUCCUAAAGAUGUAACGAGCAAUUUGGUAAAAUAAAUUUGUCGUAAUCUUUUACGGUUGCGAAGGAGUAGUAGCCACAAGAAAAACAGUGUUCGGGGAGAUAACUCAUACAACGUAAAGUAUUUUGUUACGCGGUUGUAAAUUUUUAAAGCGUAUAAACUAUACGAUAUCAUAUUCCAAACAUCUAAGCGACAAGUUAUUAAACAACAAUACUACGCAAGAAAAAAAAUUAGGCGGAAGAAAAAAAAAAAAAAAAAUAAUACUAAUAAUAAUAAUAAUUAAAAACCAAUUGUUCAAAGAACAAUUGAAGGUCUUUCAACCAAUAAGGAUGUAUUUUGAUAUGAAAAUAUAAAGAUUCAGUUGAAAAUGUCGGUUCCUAUGGCUUUAUGAUGUAUAAAAAUGAAUUUCGACCAAAGGUCAAAAUCUAGAACGUCCAAUUUACCUAUGACCUUGACCUCAAUUUCAAGGUCAUAAACAUAGGAUCCCAAAUCAAAAGACCCUAGGUCUGUAUUAUGUAUGGUUCAUGAGUAAUAUCACUUUACGCAUAAUUCUAAAUAUAAGAUGGGCGAAAACUCCCAUUUAUUGUCUACGCACCCUUGUAACCAAAAUUUAUAAGUAACGACAUGUCGCAACUAACAAUUUAGUAAAAAAAAUUGUCGAUAUCUUAUAAGGUUAAUGAAAAAAGGUGAAAAUAAGCCAAAAUCAAAAUUUAGAAUUUGACCUUGACCUUUGACCUUGACCUAAUUUUCAUUUUUUUGGACCAAGGAUCUAAAAUCAAAAGACCCUAGGUCUCUAUCACUUAUGGUUUACCAGUUAGAAAUGCAUAUUACUUAUAUCAUAUAUAAAAGGGGGGAUAACUCUCAUAUGGAGUCUCCGGAUAGCUUCGGUCAAAAUGAAACAGAACAUCCUGAGGAUAUAACGAGCAAUUUGGAAAAAUAAAUUUGUCGGUUUCUUAUACGGUUGUGGAGCCUUAGUGGCCACAAGAAAAACAGUGUUCGGGGAGAUAACUCUUACAAGGUAAAAGUUUUUUGUUACGCGGUGUCAGUUUCAGAAGCGCAUUAACUGUUCGAUAUCAUAUACCAUAUAUCUAAGCGACAUCUUGUGAAACAAAAAAACAGCGAAGGAAAAAAAAGUUGGUGGAAGAAAAAAAAAAAUAAUAAUAAUAAUAAUAAUUAAAAACCAAUUGUUCAAAGAACAAUUGAAGGUCUUUCAACCAAUAAAGAUCUAUUUAGAUAUGAAAAUAUUAAAAUUCAGUUGAAAAUGUCAGUUCCUAUGGCUUAAUGAUGUAUAAAUAUGAAUUUAAGCAAAGGUCAAAAUCUAGAACGUCCAAUUAACCUAUGACCUUGACCUCAAUUUCAAGGUCAUAGACUAAACAUCUCAAAUAAAAAGACACUAGUUCCUUAAUAUGUAUGGUUCAUGAGUAAAUCACUUUACGCAUAAUUCUUAAUAUAAGAGGGGCGAAAACUCCCUUUUAUUGUUUACGCACCCUCGCAACCAAAAUUUAUAAGUUACGACAUGUCGCAACUAACAAUUUAGUAAAAAAAAAAUUGUCGAUAUCUUAUAAGGUUAAUGAAAAAAGGUGAAAAUAAGCCAAAAUCAAAAUUAAGAAUUUGACCUUGACCUUUGACCUUGACCUAAUUUUCAUUUUUUUAGACCAAGGAUCUUAAAUCAAAAGACCCUAGGUCUCUAUCACUUAUAGUUUACCAGUUAGAAAUGCAUAUCACUGAUAUCAUAUAUAAAAGGGGGGAUAACUCUCAUAUGGAGUCUCCGGAUAGCUUCGGUUGAAAUGAAACAGAACAUCCUAAGGAUAUAACGAGCAAUUUGGAAAAAAUAAAUUUGUCGGUUUUUCUUAUACGGUUGCGAAGGAGUAGUUGGCCACAAGAAAAACAGUGUUCGGGAGAUAACUCUUACAAGGUAAAGUUUUUGUUACGCGGUGUCAGUUUCAGAAGCGUAUAAACUGUUCGAUAUCAUUACCAAAUAUCUAAGCGACAUCUUGUGAAACAAAAAACAGCGAAGGAAAAAAAAGUUGGCGGAAGAAAAAAAAAAAAAAAAAAAUUAAAAACCAAUUGUUCAAAGAACAAUUGAAGGUCUUUCAACCAAUAAGGAUCUAUUUUGAUAUGAUGAAAUAUAAAAAGAUUCAGUUGAAAAUGUCAGUUCCUAUGGCUUAUGAUGUAUAAAAUAUGAAUUUCGAGCAAAGGUCAAAAUCUAGAACGUCCAAUUAACCUAUGACCUUGACCUCAAUUUCAAGGUCAUAAACAUAGGAUCCCAAAUCAAAAGACCCUAGGUCUGUAUUAUGUAUGGUUCAUGAGUAAUAUCACUUUACGCAUAAUUCUAAAUAUAAGAGGGGCAAAAACUCCCAUUUAUUGUCUACGCACCCUUGUAACCAAAAUUUAUAAGUAACGACAUGUCGCAACUAACAAUUUAGUAAAAAUAAUUUGUCGAAAUCUUAUUAAGUAAUUGAAAAUAAGUGAAAAUAAAGCAAAAAUCAAAAUUUAAAAUUUGACCUUGACCUUUGACCUUGACCUAAUUUUCAUUUUUUUGGACCAAGGAUCUAAAAUCAAAAGACCCUAGGUCUCUAUCACUUAUGGUUUACCAGUUAGAAAUGCAUAUCACAUAUAUAUAAAGGGGGGAUAACUCUCAUAUGGAGUCUCCGGAUAGCUUCGGUCAAAAUGAAACAGAACAUCCUGAGGAUAUAACGAGCAAUUUGGAAAAAUAAAUUUGUCGGUUUCUUAUACGGUUGCGAAGCCUUAGUGGCCACAAGAAAAACAGUGUUCGGGAGAUAACUCUUACAAGGUAAAGGUUUUUGUUACGCGGUGUCAGUUUCAGAAGCGCAUUAACUGUUCGAUAUAAUAUACCAAAUAUCUAAGCGACAUCUUGUGAAACAAAAAAACAGCGAAGGAAAAAAAAGUUGGCGGAAGAAAAAAAAAAAAAAUAAUAAUAAUAAUAAUUAAAAACCAAUUGUUCAAAGAACAAUUGAAGGUCUUUCAACCAAUAAGGAUCUAUUUAGAUAUGAAAAUAUUAAAAUUCAGUUGAAAAUGUCAGUUCCUAUGGCUUAAUGAUGUAUAACUAUGAAUUUUAAGGAAAAGGUCAAAAUCUAGAACGUCCAAUUAACCUAUGACCUUGACCUCAAUUUCAAGGUCAUAGACUAAACAUCUCAAAUAAAAAGACAC
rnacentral:lncRNA from 1 species